rnacentral:misc_RNA from 1 species
UUUCCGUAGGUGAACCUGCGGAAGGAUCAUUAACGAGUUAGGGUCUCUCUGGCCCGACCUCCCAACCCUUUGUCUACUUGACCAUCGUCGCUUCGGCGAGCCCGUCCUCACGGACCGCCGGAGGGACCUUUACUGGCCCUCUGGUCCGCGCUCGUCGGUAGCCCAACCUUUAAAAUCUUUAACUAAACGUGCCUUAAUCUAAGUACAGUUAUUAAAUAAAAGCAAAACUUUCAACAACGGAUCUCUUGGUUCUG